AUGAAAUGGAAUCAUUCUAGCUCCUGCCAAGGCUAAACUUCCCUUGGUUUGAAGCCUGCACUUGGGAGUAAAAUCGAAUUUUCUCUCCAAGACAAAACCGCGACCAAGCGACGGUAAAGGCAUGCUUCUUGCUCUAGUGAUCAUUUCCAUAAUGUUUGAAUAGGCCUACCUUCAAGACGGUGGACUUCUACAGGAAGCACCAGGACUCCAUGACCCCAGCCGGUCUGGGCUUCUUCCAGAGCCAGUGGGACGAGUCGGUCACCAACACCUUCCACAACACGCUUGACAUGAAGGAGCCGGUGUUUGAGUUCGUGCGGCCCCCCGUGUACCACUCGCCGCGGGUCAAGUUCCCCCACAGGCAGCCGCUCCGCUACCUGGACCGCUACCGUGAGGGCAAGGAGCACACCUGCGGCAUCUACUGAGCCCCACAGACGCACACAUCUGGAGCUACCGCUGGACGACAUGUUAAUAUAAUAAAUUGUUUUUUUUGUA